AAAAAAAAAUGUCACAUGAAAGCCAAGGGAUCGUUACCCUAAGUGUACUCUUUUAACUCCGUCGUGUUGAAAACAUUUUGGUAGGACAAUUAUAUGAAAGCACCUUGGAGAUACUCCUCAGUCAAUUGUGCAAGUGGUGGAGAUGGUGCUCAGGCACAUGAGUAGCCAGUAUUGGUCAACAACAGAUGUGCACAUUGGGCCACGUGGUGAAGCUACUAAAGGCAGUGGGUUGAUCUCAACUGGACUAUUCUGUUGGUUUCAUGAGAAGUUUCACUGAACAGGCUUCCUCAACAACCGGGACUCCAUAGACUUGGCCCUUACUUCAGUAUGGGAUCAUUCUUGGAAGAGAUACAAAAAAUGGGGAGAGCCAUCAAGCAGCCUGCCUGAGUGGAGUAAAACAAACUCACAGUCAAGGAGGCUGUGCUGAUUGUGUUAAGCAAAAUUA